CUGAUGUGGGUGAGAAUCCCACAGGCCGUAAACCCAAGGUUUCCAGGGGAAGGUUCGUCCGCCCUGGGUUAGUCAGGACCUAAACCGAGGCCGAAAGGCGUAGGUGAUGGACAACAGGUUGAUAUUCCUGUACCACCAAUAACCGUUUGAGAAAUGGGAUGACACAGUAGGAUAAGCUAACCGCACUGUUGGUUAUGUGCGGGCAAGUAUUGAGGCAGUUCCGAUAGGCAAAUCCGUCGGAAUAAUGCUGGGGUACGAUGCGGAGCGAAAUUUAGUAGCGAAGUAGCUGAUUUCACACUGUCGAGAAAAGUCUCUAUCGAGGUUAAAGGUGCCUGUACCGCAAACCGACACAGGUGGGUGAGGAGAGUAUCCUAAGGCCAGCGAGAGAACUGUUGUUAAGGAACUCGGCAAAAUGACCCCGUAACUUCGGGAGAAGGGGUGCCUUCGAAAGAAGGCCGCAGAGAAUAGGCCCAAGCGACUGUUUACCAAAAACAUAGGUUUCUGCUAAGUCGCAAGACGAUGUAUAGGAGCUGACGCCUGCCCGGUGCUGGAAGGUUAAGGGGAUCUGUUAGAGCAAUCGAAGCAGUGAACUUAAGCCCCAGUAAACGGCGGCCGUAACGAUAACGGUCCUAAGGUAGCGAAAUUCCUUGUCGGGUAAGUUCCGACCCGCACGAAAGGCGUAACGAUUUGGGCACUGUCUCAACAACAGACUCGGUGAAAUUGUAAUACCGGUGAAGAUGCCGGUUACCUGCGACAGGACGGAAAGACCCCAUGGAGCUUUACUGUAGCUUGACAUUGAGUCUUGGUGCUACAUGUACAGGAUAGGUGGGAGACUAUGAAGCAUGGACGUCAGUCUGUGUGGAGUCAUCCUUGGGAUACCACCCUUGUAGUACUGGGAUUCUAACCAGAGGCCAUGAAUCUGGUCUUGGGACACUGUCAGGUGGACAGUUUGACUGGGGCGGUCGCCUCCUAAAAAGUAACGGAGGCGCUCAAAGGUUCUCUCAGUACGGUCGGAAAUCGUACGAAGAGUGUAAAGGCAAAAGAGAGCUUGAUUGCAAGACAUACAGGUCGAGCAAGGACGAAAGUCGGACUUAGUGAUCCGGUGGUUCCGCAUGGAAGGGCCAUCGCUCAACGGAUAAAAGCUACCCUGGGGAUAACAGGCUGAUCUCCCCCAAGAGUCCACAUCGACGGGGAGGUUUGGCACCUCGAUGUCGGCUCAUCACAUCCUGGGGCUGUAGUAGGUCCCAAGGGUUGGGCUGUUCGCCCAUUAAAGUGGUACGCGAGAUGGGUUCAGAACGUCGUGAGACAGUUCGGUCCCUAUCCGUCGCAGGCGUAGGAAAUUUGAGGAGACCUGUCCUUAGUACGAGAGGACCGGGAUGGACGUACCGCUGGUGUACCAGUUGUUCUGCCAAGGGCAUGGCUGGGUAGCUAAGUACGGAAAGGAUAAGCGCUGAAAGCAUCUAAGCGCGAAGCCCACUUCAAGAUAAGAUUUCCCACCGCAAGGUUAAGAUCCCAGGAAGACUACCUGGUUGAUAGGUCAGAGGUGUAAGUGCAGUAAUGUAUUUAGCUUACUGAUACUAAUAGAUCGAGGACUUGAUC
rnacentral:rRNA from 1 species